CGAACAGAAAAGGAGCUUGCUCCUUUGACGUUAGCGGCGGACGGGUGAGUAACACGUGGGCAACCUACCUUAUAGUUUGGGAUAACUCCGGGAAACCGGGGCUAAUACCGAAUAAUCUAUUUUACUUCAUGGUGAAAUACUGAAAGACGGUUUCGGCUGUCGCUAUAAGAUGGGCCCGCGGCGCAUUAGCUAGUUGGUGAGGUAACGGCUCACCAAGGCGACGAUGCGUAGCCGACCUGAGAGGGUGAUCGGCCACACUGGGACUGAGACACGGCCCAGACUCCUACGGGAGGCAGCAGUAGGGAAUCUUCCACAAUGGGCGAAAGCCUGAUGGAGCAACGCCGCGUGAGUGAAGAAGGUUUUCGGAUCGUAAAACUCUGUUGUAAGGGAAGAACAAGUACAGUAGUAACUGGCUGUACCUUGACGGUACCUUAUUAGAAAGCCACGGCUAACUACGUGCCAGCAGCCGCGGUAAUACGUAGGUGGCAAGCGUUGUCCGGAAUUAUUGGGCGUAA
rnacentral:rRNA from 1 species